rnacentral:misc_RNA from 1 species
GUGAUUUCGAUUCUUUGAUUUUUGAUGAGAGAAGAUCGAGGUGGAGGAGCCAUGGUGAUGGAGCGGCGAAAUGGAUUGAAUCGGAAGCGAUUUGGAGCUUAUUUGCAGUCCGAUCCGGCGAUUUAUACCGGUGAUGAUAAUGAUUUCUCUCCCCGGCAUAGCAAUGCCUCUGCUGCGACUAGUCCGGUGAAUCACUACGACAAAUCGCCGGCGAGUGGUGACGCUUCGCCUUAUUUGAUGUCGCCGUGGAAUCAGUCCGCUUCGCCGUAUUCGAAAUCUCCGUGGAUCGUUCGAUCGGGUAUGAAUUUGUACGACGAUGAAUUUUAUGCUCAGAAUGGACUCAUCGGCUCUCUGGUGCGAGAGGAAGGUCAUGUGUAUUCGUUGGCGGUGGCAGGGGAUUUGUU